UUUUUGGUUCCUAUCCGUAUCCCGUAAUUACUACUUAUUGUAAGCCACAGCUCUGAUUGGAGCGCGUUUACAUAAAGAAACCAGUUUCAUCUGAAGGGACUUGGAAAAUCCCUCUCGUAAAGGAAAUGCAGGGGGUGUGAAGAAGACAACCGGCUGACAACCUGGAAUGACACUAAACGUUGAACUGCGCUUCCUGUUUUUUUAAAGCAAGACGACGCUGGGCCAAUUGUGCGCCGCCCUAUGAGACUCCCAAUCGCGGCCAGUUGGGAUACAGCCUGGAAUCAAACCAGGGUCUGUAG